rnacentral:lncRNA from 1 species
UUUGACGUUCAUAGUCCUGUCACUGUUAGUGAAAAGAAUCACCUUUGUUUUGUCUGGAUUUACAGCAAAGUUCAGCUCUUCCGCCUGAGUUGUGAAGUUAUCCACCGCGAUUUGUAAUUUAGAGUUGAGCGUUUCUGUGUUUCGAGCCCUUACACGGAGAAAACGGAAAAUACUAAUUAGAGUGCUUUUUAUUACAUUCAUGCUAUUCUUUUUGUAUAAUCAUUGCAAAUCAUAAAGAAUAAGCAUCACCAUCUUUUAGUUUAUACCUUUCAAUGCAUUUCCAAAAUGUAUAUUUUUGCUUGAAUUUUGUGAUGCCAAUGUUACUCUUGCAACUUAGUGAUGUUAUUUCAGUAACAGCACCAUGUUCAACGGCUGCUCCUCGAAAAUUAAACAAGUUUUUGCUAGCUUCAGGGAGAGAAAAUUGUGAUAUACAGCGAUCUUUCUAAUGCUAAAGAAGCAGGAAACGGAGCUGAUUCGGAGAUUCAAGAGCAGAAACAAACUUCAACGUAUCCAUCGAGCUGGUUGUUGAAGCAUUUAAGGCUUGAUCGGGAUUAUUAACAUCAACUGCAAAAGAUGAACCAAACUAUUAGGCAUAACGGAUCAUCCACGAUAAGUUCCGUUUUUUCCAGCCAAAUCAGGAUCAGAAUGCUGUUCGCCAAGAAAUCAUUCAAUGACGGCAGCUCCUUGCACAUGCUAGUGAGUAAAGUACAGAGGAAACGAAACGAUGGCGUGCACUUUUCUUCAUAUAUUAUACAUUAAAUACAGCUGGGACAAAUAAACAUGUUUCUCCUUGUU